AUGGACACACGGAUGAGGCUGACAAUUCAGGCAGCAACACUGAUUUGUGUGAUUUAGGCAUGGGUCAUGUUCAUGCACCAAAGAGUUGUUCGUCGUGCUGGGAGACCUUUGAUCCGCUGUGGUCCAUUGUUUAUCCGGGAACAGGAGAGGAUCCAAAAUUUGAACUACAUCUACAACUGCAAUGACGUCGAGGCUCUAUGGAUGCUUCGAAUGAAAAGAGCGCCAUUUGCCAGGCUUGUCGAGACCUUCAGGGCAGGGGGGCUGCUACAAGAUAACAUCAACACCAGUGUGAAAGAGCAAGUGGCCAUGUUUAUCCAUGUUGUUGGCCAUAGCCAGAGGUUCAGGGUCAUUCACAACACGUUUAGGAGAUCAAUGGAGACCAUCUCUAGGUACUUCAAGCAGGUGCUUUUUGCUAUUGGGGAGCUUAGAGGAGAGAUGAUCAGGAGACCAUCUGGUCAGACUCCACCCAAAAUUUGCGGAAGCCCAAGAUGGUAUCCAUACUUCAAGGUGAGCAUUGACAAUAUACACUUUCAUGCCUUAAUAUGCUUGUAUUGUUCAAGUUGA
rnacentral:rRNA from 1 species